GAUGAACGCUGGCGGCGUGCUUAACACAUGCAAGUCGAACGAAGCAUUUAGAACAGAUUAUUUCGGUAUGAAGUUCUUUAUGACUGAGUGGCGGACGGGUGAGUAACGCGUGGGUAACCUGCCUUGUACUGGGGGAUAGCAGCUGGAAACGGCUGGUAAUACCGUAUAAGCGCACGAUGUCGCAUGACAUAGUGUGAAAAACUCCGGUGGUAUAAGAUGGACCCGCGUCUGAUUAGCUAGUUGGUGAGAUAACAGCCCACCAAGGCGACGAUCAGGAGCCGACCUGAGAGGGUGACCGGCCACAUUGGGACUGAGACACGGCCCAGACUCCUACGGGAGGCAGCAGUGGGGAAUAUUGCACAAUGGAGGAAACUCUGAUGCAGCGACGCCGCGCGAAGGAAGAAGUAUUUCGGUAUGUAAACUUCUAUCAGCAAGGAAGAAAAUGACGGUACUUGACUAAGAAGCCCCGGCUAAAUACGUGCCAGCCGCCGCAGUAA
rnacentral:rRNA from 1 species